AACGACAAAAAAAACACAAAAACAAAA
rnacentral:sRNA from 1 species